GAUGAACGCUGGCGGCGUGCUUAACACAUGCAAGUCGAACGAGAAGUGAAGACGGACACCUUCUGGCGGAUGGCGUUAUUCCGAGUGGCGGACGGGUGAUUAACGCCUGGGUAUCCUGCCUCAUUCACGGGGAUAACAGUUGGAUACGACUGCUUAUACCGCAUCAGAUCACACCACCGCACGGUGCGGGGGUAAAAACUCCGGUUGCAUGAGAUGGACCCGCGUUGGAUUAGCCAGUUGGCGGGGUAACGGCACACCAAAGCGACGAUCGAUAGCCGAGCAGAGAGGAGGGGCGCCCACAUUGGGAGGGAGACACGGGAGGAAAUCCUACGAGAGGGGGCAGUGGGGAAUAUUGCACAAUGGGGGAAGUCCUGAAGGAGCGACGCCGCGUAAAUGAAGAAGUAUGGGGGUAAGAAAAGCUCUAUUAACAGGGAAGAACAUGACGGUACCUGAGUAAAAAGCCACGGCUAACUACGUG
rnacentral:rRNA from 1 species